UUUUUCCUUCUAGAAAAAAAAAUAUAGAAAACAGAAAUAUUAAUGUAUUCGAAGUGAGAGAAAAUAAAAAUGCAAAAGAAAUACAUGUGGGAUGAUCGGAGUGGACACAACAACGUAAACAACACAAGUCCGCUCCGUGUAAUAAAAAUCGGUUUCAAAGUUACAUGAAUAAUUACUUCCAAACGCCCCCUUAACCCACCCAAACCCCAAUUCCGAAUCCACUCUAUUACCUAUUCGAAUUAGGGGCAUCUCUGAACUGGAAACAAUCAGAUGCUAGCGAUUUGAGAUAUGUACAGUAAAGGUGAGUAGUGUGUUUGGUUUCUUGGAAUCGCGGUCAGAAUGGUGGUUUCCGACAGUCCCAACGGUGGUUCUACGCCGCCACCGCCACCGCCACCGCAACAAGAACAAACCAACAAAUACGGCUUGACAAAACCUAUCUCCCUUGCCGGUCCCACCGACGCUGAUUUACAGCGUAACCUCGAAUUGGAGAAGUUUUUGCUUGAUUCGGAGCUUUAUGAGAGCAAUGAAGAAGCCGCAAGCAGACAAGAGGUUCUUCGACGCCUUGAUCAGAUUGUGAAAAGCUGGGUGAAGCAGUUGACGCGGCAGCGUGGCUACACGGAUCAGAUGGUUGAGGAUGCAAACGCUGUCAUUUUCACUUUUGGUUCUUAUCGACUAGGGGUUCAUGGACCUGGAGUUGACAUAGACACUUUGUGCAUUGGUCCUUCGUAUGUGAAUCGAGAGGAAGACUUCUUUAUCAUUUUGCAUAACAUCCUGGCUGAAAUGGAAGAAGUUACUGAACUUCAACCAGUUCCUGAUGCACACGUCCCAGUAAUGAAAUUCAAAUUUCAGGGAAUAUCUAUAGAUUUGCUGUAUGCAAGUAUAUCUCUUUUGGUUGUGCCAGAAGACCUAGAUAUCUCACAUGGUUCAGUGCUGUAUGACGUUGAUGAACCAACUGUCCGAAGUCUUAAUGGCUGUCGGGUGGCAGAUCAAAUUCUUAAACUUGUCCCAAAUGUUGAGCACUUCCGAACUACAUUGAGAUGUUUAAAGUUUUGGGCUAAAAGGCGUGGUGUUUAUUCAAAUGUUACUGGAUUUCUUGGUGGUGUAAAUUGGGCUAUUUUAGUUGCUCGAAUUUGCCAGCUUUACCCCAAUGCAAUCCCUAGUAUGUUGGUUUCUCGAUUCUUCAGGGUCUAUACACAGUGGCGGUGGCCAAACCCUGUAAUGCUAUGCUCUAUAGAAGAAAAUGAACUGGGUUUCCCUGUAUGGGAUCCUCGUAGAAAUCCCCGAGACAGAUUUCACAUUAUGCCGAUAAUUACUCCUGCAUACCCGUGCAUGAAUUCAAGCUACAAUGUCUCAGCAAGCACUCUUCGUGUUAUGAUGGAACAGUUCCGCUAUGGCAAUAAGAUUUGUGAUGAAAUUGAGCUGAAUAAAGCCCAAUGGAUUGCACUUUUCCAGCCAUAUGUCUUUUUUGAAGCAUACAAAAACUAUUUACAAGUGGACAUAAUUGCAUCAGAUGCUGACGAUUUACUAGCAUGGAAGGGUUGGGUAGAAUCUCGGUUGAGACAACUUACCCUGAAGAUAGAGCGAGAUACAAAUGGGAUGCUACAGUGUCAUCCUUACCCACACGAGUAUAUAGACACAUCCAAACCUUGUGCACAUUCUGCAUUUUUCAUGGGCUUGCAAAGAAAAGAGGGAGUAAGAGGUCAAGAAGGGCAGCAAUUUGAUAUACGUGGAACGGUUGAUGAAUUCAGACAAGAAAUAAAUAUGUAUAUAUACUGGAAACCAGGGAUGGAAAUUUUUGUUUCUCAUGUUCGUCGAAAGCAACUCCCUCCAUUUGUUUUUCCUGAUGGUUACAAACGCACUCGAAUGCCAAGGCAUAUAAGCCUUCCGGCUGAAAAACCAGGUGAUGAUGCCACAAAAUGCUACUCUGGAUCUGGGUCUUCUGAAAGAAACAUCAAGAGGAAAAAUUACCCUGAAAUGAUGGAUAGGAAGCCAGACAAACCAGAGAAGCGGGCAUCUAUUAGCCCACAGAGGUUAGAAUGUGUUUCUCCUGAAAGUUGUACUAGUAAAUCAGGUGGUACAGCUCACGUGAAUAUUGAGGGUAUUGAAGGGGUUAGGUUAGCUAGUUCAACUACCAGGGAUGCUGACCGCAUUUGUGAAAUUAAGUCAUCUGAUGCACUUCCAGGAAGUGGACUAAGUACUGAGGUUACUGACAUGCAGAUUAGUGAACCUGGCUUUGUUGACUCCUCACAUGAUAGGCUGAAAUCAAGAAGUGUAGAAAUUCUGAAUGAGAAUGGGGUCAUCAAUGGGGACAAAACUCAGGAUCUGCCUUUAAGUUGCUUGAAAAGUGCAGAAACAGAAUCUACCAAAAGCUUGCCAAACUGUCAAGAAGGCGUCGUUGAUAUGGAUCAACAACUAGACAAAGCGUGUAAUUUCAUCACAAGGGCUGAAUGUUCAGAUUAUGUACCAAGUGCCAGUUCCCAGAACCUCAAUUGCGAGGGUGAUGUUUGUGUGGCUGAUCCAGAUCAGUUCUGAAGAGUGGGUGUUUUCUUGGAAAUUGAGUAUUUCAAAAUAUCGUGGCCCAAGAAUAUAAGGUUUUUAAUUUUCUGAACUCUCUUUGUUUCUCAGUAAUAAAGAUGUUCUGAUCUUGUAAUAAUCUAAUCCACCUCACCUUAGUGGCUUUCAUGGCAUUUACCAAAGUUUUAUAUAUUUCAUGGGUUUCAGAAGAAAUAAGAGUCUAAUCUUCAAUUUUUUUAUGACUGAUUUUUUUUUACUUUGGUUAUAGCUUGAUUCCAUAUUAUAGCCAACCAGAAUGCGGUCUGGCCCUUUUCUCUCCCCAUCUUGUUGGGUCUUCUUACUAUGACCGUUUUUAUCUUGUAUAUUUUCUUGUUUCUUUCAAGAUAAUUUGACUAUCAAUUUCCGUGGUAAUUGAAUUUCUUAGUCAAUUUUCUGACUGGUGAAUAUGUGGUCGCAGGUCCUGCACCACUAUACGUGCUAUGUUUCCAGUAACUCUGCUUAGGAACCUGACUUGUUUUGUGUAUAGAGAGGCUCAGAGACCAGACCUUCCUUUUGUUUCAUUUUAUAAUUUUUGUUUAAUGCUUUUUUGGAUUUCUGAUUAUGAUUAUUCUUUCUAUUUUCUACAUUGUGUAUAGCCAGAUGUCAGGCUCAGAAGUGCUGUAUAAAUUGGAGACAAGGCUAGGAGGAUGAGUUUAGAGUGGAUCACGUUAUUUGGGAGCAUCAUCGCCGCCCACAGUGCUACCCUGCUAUAUUGUGGCUGUUACUGUGCUGAGAUCCUGUGAGUGGGACUGAUGCUACAUUUGAACAUUGAGGAGCUGAUAUAAAUGAUUGCAUUGAAUCAGAUUGGGGUUUUGGGUAUAUGGUGUUGCGAUGAUCGUCUGUGUACAUAGAUGAACAGCAUGAUGGAGAUGCUUAAAAAUGUGGUCACAUCCUCUUGCGUGUUAAACAUGGGCUCAUCUCGUCUUCAGAGCUGUGAACUUUCUCAUAAACCCUUGACAUACUUACUUACCUUGAAUUUAAAAGGAGUGGGGACUUUCUUGUUUGCUUGUGAUGUGGAUGUGAUCGAUACAUUAUGUAAAUGUAAGCAGAUAACUAUUUCGGCUAGGUGAUUUUGAAGAGAAAAUUGAAAAAAAAAAUGAUAUUUUGGUGGUAGAGUAGGGUAGUCUUCCUUGUCUAUCCUUGCAUUGUAAGUUUUAGACGGUGGGGAGGAUCAUUCUGCACAUGGGUUUCGUUGGCCUUUCAAUUUAGUGAAACACUACUACCUUGUGGAGAUGGUUUCUUUCGUUAGUGUUUUCGCAUGGUUAUUUUUUUGUUUGACGUACCUUUGCUGUUUAUUUUGCUUCAGUAAACAUACUGAAGCCGAGAUUAUA